rnacentral:rRNA from 1 species
AAGUUAGUUAAAACUCCGCUAAUAAAACUCAAAUUUGAUAGCGAAAAGUAUUGUGAAAAAAAGAUUAAAGAUUUUAAAUAAUAUGAAAACUGAAUUUUAGUGUAAAAAUCAAAUAGCAUAAAACUAUUGUACCUUUUGUAUAAUGGGUCGGCGAGUUUAUUUUUUAAGCAAGCGUAAGCGUAAAAAAAUUAAACAGUUUAAAGAAUAAGACCCGAAACUGGGUGAUCUAAUAAUGAACAAGCAAUAGGCUGAACCCAUAAAUGUUGCAAAAUUUUGGGAUGAUUUGUUAUUAGGGGUGAAAGGCUAAUCAAACCCAGAGAUAGCUGGUUCUCCGCGAAAACUAUUUAAGUAGUGCUAUAUUUUAGCUAUAGUUAGAUAAAAUAAAACAAAAAGGCCUCAAAAUCUAUUUGUAGUUUUUGAAUUAAUUAUAAAAAAAAUAUAAGACAGACUUAUGGUGCUAAGAUCGUAAGUCGAGAGGGAAACAGCCCAGAACAUAGGUUAAGGUGGUUAAAUAGGGUUUUGUUAAAAAGAUUUGGCGGUAUUUAGUUAUGAGGUAAGCUUGGAAACAGCUAUCCUUUUAAGAAAACGUAAAAGUUCAAAAACUAAAAAAAUAAUUUUAAAAAAUUAUACACCCAAUUCUGUAAAUAUAUAGCCAAUAAAUUCUAUACCGAAACUAUGUAUAAGGUAGCGGAGUGUAUUUUAAUUCGCUGAAGAAAAAUUGUAAAAUUUUUUGGAGAAAAAAAUAUCAAUUAUGCCGACAUUAGUAAUAAUUUUUGUAGAAAAAACAAAAUACCGAACAUUAACGUGGUUGCAUAGUUAAGAUAAACUGACUAUGUGUUAUACGACAACUAAAGACUUUAUCAAAAUUAAGUCUGAUGUAUUAUUUAGAACAAAUAUUUAAUUUUUAUCUCAAAAAUUUGAUAUAAAAACUUAAGUAUUUUUGAAAAAACUAAAUAAAUAAUCGUACUAAUACCAACACAGGUUAAUUUGCUGAGUAAGCUAAGGUAUAAGAGAUAACGGUGUUAAAGGAACUCGGCAAAAUAUCUUUGUAACUUCGGGAAAAAAAGAACUAAUAGAGUUUGAGUAAAGAGGGGGUGGCGACUGUUUAUUAAAAACAUAAGAUUCUGCAAACUAGUAAUAAGAAGUAUAGAAUCUGACACCUGCCCAGUGCUGUUAGAUGAAAUUAAAAGAUAUUCUUUUUUUAUAAGUCGCAGUAAACGGCGGCCGUAACCCUGACGGUCCUAAGGUAGCAAAAUCCCUUGACGGGUAAGUUCCGUCCUGCACGAAUGGUGUAACGACUGCCCCACUGUCUCUAACAUCGACUUUAUGAAAUUGAAUUAGACGUGAAGAUGCGUUAAAACACAGCUAGACGGAGAGACCCUAUGCACCUUUACUGUAAUCAAUUUUUUUUAAAAACUUAACUAAAUAUAUGGAUGUAGUAAUAUUAUAUAAUUGGAAAACUACUUUUGGUAAAGUAAUUAAAAGUUUAAAAAAUAAUCAUUUUAAAUGAGAUUGAAUGACAGUUUAGCUGGGGCGGCAACCUCCUAAAAAGUACCGGAGGUGAAUAAAGGUGUGAGAUAUAUUAAGGUAGAGAAGGUCGAAUGAUCGACUCACACUUGAUUUUAUUAUUAACUAAUAAUAAAAGGAUUAAAGUCUGUCAUAUUGACCCGAUUUUUAAUUUAGCAUAAAAAAUCGAUCAACGAAUAAAAGGUACGCUAGGGAUAACAGGCUAAUGAGUUUUGAGAGGUCAUAUCGACGAACUCGUUUGGCACCUCGAUGUCGGCUCAUCACAUCCUGGUGGUGCACAAUCUACCAAGGGUUCGGCUGUUCGCCGAUUAAAGUGGUACGUGA